GCUCCGUAGGUGAACCUGCGGAGGGAUCAUUACAGAGUUCAUGCCCUACCGGGUAGAUCUCCCACCCUAUGUUAUUAUUACUCUGUUGCUUUGGCGGGCCGUUAGGCUCCGGCCCGACUACCGGCCCCGCCGGUAAGGCCCCCCCCAGGGACCCAAAAACCUUAACUUUAAUUGCCGCCUGGUAACUAUAUAUAGGUUAAAACUUUAAACAACGGAUCCUUUGGUUUUGUCAUCGAUGAAAAACCAAGAGAACCGGAAAACACAAGUCUGGAAUCCAAG
rnacentral:misc_RNA from 1 species